AGGUCCCGAGCGUUGUUCGGAUUCAUUGGGCGUAAAGGGUGCGUAGGCGGCGGGGCCAGUCUGAUGUGAAAUCCCCGGGCUCAACCCGGGAACUGCAUUGGAUACUGCCUUGCUAGAGUACUGGAGAGGGAACUGGAAUUUACGGUGUAGCAGUGAAAUGCGUAGAGAUCGUAAGGAAGGCCAGUGGCGAAGGCGAGUUCCUGGACAGUGACUGACGCUGAGGCACGAAGGCCAGGGGAGCAAACGGG
rnacentral:rRNA from 1 species